rnacentral:rRNA from 1 species
UACGAAGGGUGCUAGCGUUGUUCGGAAUCGCUGGGCGUAAAGCGCGCGUAGGCGGCCAAUCAAGUCAGGGGUGAAAUGCCACGGCUCAACCGUGGAACUGCCUUUGAAACUGAUUGGCUGGAAGAUGAGAGGGGAUAGCGGAAUUUCUGGUGUAGAGGUGAAAUUCGUAGAUACCAGAAGGAACACCGGUGGCGAAGGCGGCUAUCUGGCUCAUUCUUGACGCUCUGGCGCGAAAACGUGGGGAUCAAACAGG